GCAGGCGCGAAACCUUUACACUGCACGACAGUGCGAUAGGGGGAUCCCAAGUGCACAGGCAUAGCGCCUGUGCUUUUCGGUACCCUAAGGCGGUACCAGAAUAAGGGCUGGGCAAGACCGGUGCCAGCCGCCGCGGUAAUACCGGCAGCCCAAGUGAUGGCCGAUCUUAUUGGGCCUAAAGCGUCCGUAGCUGGCCGUACAAGUCCAUCGGGAAAGCCACCUGCUCAACAGGUGGGCGCCCGGUAGAAACUGUGCGGCUUGGGACCGGAAGGCGCGACGGGUACGUCCGGGGUAGGAGUGAAAUCCCGUAAUCCUGGACGGACCGCCGAUGGCGAAAGCACGUCGCGAGAACGGAUCCGACAGUGAGGGACGAAAGCCAGGGUCUCGAACCGGAUUAGAUACCCGGGUAGUCCUGGCCGUAAACAAUGUCUGCUAGGUGUGGCUCCCACUACGAGUGGGUGCUGUGCCGUAGGGAAGCCGCUAAGCAGACCGCCUGGGAAGUACGUCCGCAAGGAUGAAACUUAAAGGAAUUGGCGGGGGAGCACUACAACCGGAGGAGCCUGCGGUUUAAUUGGAUUCAACGCCGG
rnacentral:rRNA from 1 species